UACGUAGGGUGCAAGCGUUGUCCGGAAUUAUUGGGCGUAAAGAGCUCGUAGGCGGUCUGUCGCGUCUGCUGUGAAAACUCGGGGCUUAACCCCGGGCCUGCAGUGGGUACGGGCAGACUAGAGUGCGGUAGGGGAGACUGGAAUUCCUGGUGUAGCGGUGAAAUGCGCAGAUAUCAGGAGGAACACCGGUGGCGAAGGCGGGUCUCUGGGCCGUAACUGACGCUGAGGAGCGAAAGCAUGGGGAGCGAAAAGG
rnacentral:rRNA from 1 species